AUCGAACGCUGGCGGCAGGCCUAACACAUGCAAGUCGAACGAGUGGCGGACGGGUGAGUAAUGUCUGGGAAACUGCCUGAUGGAGGGGGAUAACUACUGGAAACGGUAGCUAAUACCGCAUACCCUCUGAUGUGCCCAGUUGGGAUUAGCUUGUUGGUGGGGUAACGGCUAACCAGGGCGACGAUCCCCAUCUGGUCUGGGAGGAUGACCAGCCACACUGGAACUGAGACACGGUCCAGACUCCUACGGGAGGCGGCAGUGGGAAAUAUUGCACAAUGGGCGCAAGCCUGAUGCAGCCAUGCCGCGUGUAUGAAGAGGGCCUUCGGGUUGUAAAGUACUUUCAUCGGGGAGGCGUUACCCGCAGAGGAAGCACCGGCUAACUCCGUGCCAGCAGCCGCGGUAAUAC
rnacentral:rRNA from 1 species